rnacentral:lncRNA from 1 species
CAGGAACAUCAAUCCACUGCAACUGGAGCUCUACUUCACCACACUCCACAUUUCGCAAUCGAAGAAUAAUAUUUUGAAUCACUUUCCCCUCAACCCAGAUAAUCUGGCUUUCAUCAGCAAGGCAAUUUUGUCUGUUCGGUUGAAUUCUAGUUAUUAUGGUUCCGCUUGGAAGGUCUUCGAGUCGCAUCUUCACAGCUUCAAGAAAUGGACGGAUAUCAAACUCUGCAUCUCCCAUUUUGUCAUCUCUGCUGAAUGUGUCUUUGUCGUAAACAACCUGUAUUUUCAAAUAAAGAAGCAAUGGAAUUCAGGCAGCAAGCAAAUAUAACUAUAACAUAAUAAACCUAUUCUGUAGUAAACCAAAAAUAACGGAUAAGCUUUAACUCAAUUGUACUAGUGUCACAAACACCCUGCAUUUUCAAAAAGAGGCACUUUCAUUUUAAUUAUAUAUGAAUUCAGUUCAGGGAACAGCAAAUUUCACAGUUAAUCGUUCACCAAGAGAUUUUCCCGCAUAACUAAAACAAAACAAAUUUUGUUCUUUGCGUGCAGUUACAAGGUUGUGUCUCAUUUCUCAAGUUAGCCUAGGCUGUAAACAGUUGAUCUCAACAGAGAUCGAGCUCAGCUUGUUAGAGGUUUACUCAAGCUUGAACUCAGGACAUUUACUAUUUGAAGUUUUAAAAAAAAUUGUAGCUCAUUUACAAGCUCAAACUCGAAUUCAAGCUCGGCUCUUUAAACUGUUUUUCCUGAGCUGAGCCUCUAGCAACUGAUGGGAGCUUGGCUCAUUUACAGUCCUAGUUAGCAAUAGACAGUUAAAUUAAUUGAAUUUGAGAAGCCGAAAGGGUUAAAUUUGACUCUAAUUAAAAAUAAAAGGCUUAGUUCACUUUCAGCUGAAAUUUUAGGGGCUAAUUAGAGCUUUUGGCCAAAAUUCCUUCAUGAUUAUUCUAUUUAUAGCAAGCUAAACUGAAGAUUUAAUAAUGUAUAUAUGUACAUAAAAAUUCAUUUCUUCUUUGCCAAGAUUUUCUAUUCUUGUUUUUAACACUUUGAUUGGUAGAAUCUAUCCAUCUAGGUCAAGAUUAGCAAAAGAUUGAGGAUAUGAAUUACUUACGAGCUAAACACACAAACAAAUCUAUCAAAACUAAGACAUGAUCAAAUGAAUUGUAAUACUUACAAUCUUGAUUGGAAGAUUUGGAUUCUCAAUUGAGAGAGUCAAAUCCUCAUUCCACUCAGGAUUGACAUUUUGCUUCACCACUCGAGUCUUCAAUUUCUGCAAAAACAAUAUAUAUAUAUAUAUAUAUAUCAAUCAAUAAACUAAUACUUGUUAAGCAAUUAGUGGUGGAAAUGUUAGCUAAAGGAAAAGUACACAUAAAAAAUAUGGAAAAACACCUUAAUUUGAUUUGACUUGACAAAUAAAUAAAUAACUUUUAUGAGACUGAUAAUAAUUGAAAAACGGACCGACAAUUUAAUACAACUUUUAGCAGCAAUCAAAUUUAUUCUCUCAAUUAAUUUAUUUUCUAAUAUGAAUUUCACUCUCCUAGUCUCAGAUUUUAGUUUCUUUUUUUCUUUUUGGGUCACUCUGUGAAUAGUUUUUCAUUAUCUUAAUUGAAAGUAAAGAAAUGAAUAAUCUUUGAAAAGUAUUUUUCUUUUUCUAAUAAAAGGGAGGAAAUUAACCGAAUAAACACUUAAACAUGAACAGUUCUUGGCAAAAGAGUCCCAACCAGGAAAUUAUAUUUAAACACAAAUUAUUUUACUAUUAGAAAGUAAUAUUUGUUUCACUAAUGUCAUGUUGAGAACUAGAUAAAAAUAACCAAAAAUACUAGCAGCAUUUCCCAUUACAUCACUGCAUAGCAGAGAAAGAAAUCCGCCUAUGGCUAACUUGACAUACUCCUGCAAAACAUAUAUAUAUAUAUAUAUAUACACACACACACACACUGCUCAAAUUCAAAGCAGUUAAAUAAAACAGAUAGAUAGCUGCAAAUUCUACAAACCCCUAAUACCAGGAACAUCAAUCCACUGCAACUGGAGCUCUACUUCACCACACUCCACAUUUCGCAAUCGAAGAAUAAUAUUUUGAAUCACUUUCCCCUCAACCCAGAUAAUCUGGCUUUCAUCAGCAAGGCAAUUUUGUCUGUUCGGUUGAAUUCUAGUUAUUAUGGUUCCGCUUGGAAGGUCUUCGAGUCGCAUCUUCACAGCUUCAAGAAAUGGACGGAUAUCAAACUCUGCAUCUCCCAUUUUGUCAUCUCUGCUGAAUGUGUCUUUGUCGUAAACAACCUGUAUUUUCAAAUAAAGAAGCAAUGGAAUUCAGGCAGCAAGCAAAUAUAACUAUAACAUAAUAAACCUAUUCUGUAGUAAACCAAAAAUAACGGAUAAGCUUUAACUCAAUUGUACUAGUGUCACAAACACCCUGCAUUUUCAAAAAGAGGCACUUUCAUUUUAAUUAUAUAUGAAUUCAGUUCAGGGAACAGCAAAUUUCACAGUUAAUCGUUCACCAAGAGAUUUUCCCGCAUAACUAAAACAAAACAAAUUUUGUUCUUUGCGUGCAGUUACAAGGUUGUGUCUCAUUUCUCAAGUUAGCCUAGGCUGUAAACAGUUGAUCUCAACAGAGAUCGAGCUCAGCUUGUUAGAGGUUUACUCAAGCUUGAACUCAGGACAUUUACUAUUUGAAGUUUUAAAAAAAAUUGUAGCUCAUUUACAAGCUCAAACUCGAAUUCAAGCUCGGCUCUUUAAACUGUUUUUCCUGAGCUGAGCCUCUAGCAACUGAUGGGAGCUUGGCUCAUUUACAGUCCUAGUUAGCAAUAGACAGUUAAAUUAAUUGAAUUUGAGAAGCCGAAAGGGUUAAAUUUGACUCUAAUUAAAAAUAAAAGGCUUAGUUCACUUUCAGCUGAAAUUUUAGGGGCUAAUUAGAGCUUUUGGCCAAAAUUCCUUCAUGAUUAUUCUAUUUAUAGCAAGCUAAACUGAAGAUUUAAUAAUGUAUAUAUGUACAUAAAAAUUCAUUUCUUCUUUGCCAAGAUUUUCUAUUCUUGUUUUUAACACUUUGAUUGGUAGAAUCUAUCCAUCUAGGUCAAGAUUAGCAAAAGAUUGAGGAUAUGAAUUACUUACGAGCUAAACACACAAACAAAUCUAUCAAAACUAAGACAUGAUCAAAUGAAUUGUAAUACUUACAAUCUU